GAAGCAGGAGCAGGAGGUUCGGGAGGAUCCGGACUUAAACAUGUUUACUGAAGACAUUUUUAGUACUGAAAGUGGAAAGGACAAUUUGAAAACACCGAUUUCCCCUAAGGCUUCGCCCCCCGUGCAUGGCAGCAAGUGCAAACUAUGCGGCAAAAUGAUUGGCAGGUUGAGCACCUUGGGAAACCACGUAAUGAACCAACAUUACACAGCAAUAAGAGGAAAAAAAAAGUGACCGUGUUAAGACUAUCAGAGGAAACUGGGGUGCCGGCCGAGUAUU